AUGGUUUAAAAAUAACAUAUUUAUGAAUUCAUAAACAGGCAAAGGAAAAAAAAAGAGAGAAGAAAAAGAGCCCUAACCGCUGGCCCCUCAUCCUUCUUCUCCGGCCUCUUCAAUAGCAACAGGUAGCGACGGCCGGUGCCCACACCCAAGCCAACCGAAAGCUCUGUCGUUGAGGUUGCUCUAUGCUCAUCCACGAAUCUGACUUGCAUUGCGAGGCUUCGCCUAGGCUUUUUCAGCAUCAUUUCGACGACUAGUUCUGUCUUGCCAGCGUUUUUGGCUUGAGGGGUAUGCUUUCGACUGUUACCCACACUCCCAUUGAUCUUAAAUCAGUCUACCCAUAACGUCUAAGCAUCGGAUCUGCAAUUUUGAAUGCUCUUGAAUGCCGUCCAGCAAGGUUCAGAGCCUUUUUUGUUUUGGACUAGCUCGGACUGAUCGACUCAGGUCUAUGGUUGUUGAUUUUGGGGGUAAGUAUUCUUUUAAACACUCUCAAAUUUCAAUUAAGGUCUUCAAAAUGAGUUCUAAUUUCUAAAUUUUUUAUGGAUUCUUUAAACUUCGAGGACGUUGAUAUUUGUCCAAGUGGAUUUAUGAUGGAGAAUUGUAGGAUAGUCAAUUGAGUUGGAUUGAGAAAUACCGACUAUUAAACCAUCAUCACCAUGUCGCCUCCUGGGGGUUCACCAAGGAAGCGAAAGGAGGUUGAGCCGCUUGUGAAGCCGAAAGUUGCAGAAGCCGAUUCAAUUUCAGCAAAUCGACUUCUAGCAGGCUAUCUUGCUCAUGAGUUUCUCUGCAACGGCACUUUGUUUGGGGAGAAGUACGAACCGGCUCUAAAUGAAGCUGUUGGAAUGGCUAACUCGCAGUCAACUGAGUGUAAGAGGACGAAGCUGGAAGCCGCUGCGGCGAGCAUAAAAAAAGUAAAUCAUAGCUAUGCUGAGGUGGCAAGGAUCUUGAAGAUGGAUGGAGCCCAUUUGCCUGGAAUUGUGAACCCGGGCCAGCUCGCUUGGUGGAUUAAAAUGUAACUGUCAACGUGGUGUCCUUUGAUUGAUGUAUAUUUUACUUUGGAGUUUACGUUGAAAUCUUCCGUAUCUCAAAACCACAAGAGAAAUGGAGUAUAGAUGACUUCUCUCUCUCACCAAGUUUGUUUUCGAGAGAUUAUCUUCCAUUUGUUCUAUUGAAUUUCAAUAUCAGCGUAGAGUGAUAUCUGUUACUGAUCAAUGUAUAGGACUAAGUUCAGAAAUGGAUAAUUGGUUCUCUUUGUUAGUUUUGUAAUUGUACAGUUUCCCUUUUCAUGUAAAUGAUUAUACCUUACCCUUUUUGGUCUUGUUUUCUUUCA